GAUGAAGAACGUAGCGAAAUGCGAUAAGUAGUGUGAAUUGCAGAAUUCAGUGAAUCGUCGAAUCUUUGAACGCACAUUGCGCCCCUUGGUAUCCCGAGGGGCAUGCCUGUUCGAGCGUCAUUUCACCACUCAAGCCUGGCUUGGUGUUGGGCGACGUCCUCUUUGGGGACGCGCCUCGAAACGCUCGGCGGCGUGGCACCGGCUUUAAGCGUAGCAGAAUCUUUCGCUUUGGAAGUCGGGGCCCCGUCUGCCGGAAGACCUGCUCGCAAGGUUGACCUCGGAUCAGGCAGGGAUACCCGCUGAACUUAAGCAUAUCAAUAAGCGGAGGA
rnacentral:misc_RNA from 1 species